rnacentral:rRNA from 1 species
AUUGAACGCUGGCGGCAGGCCUAACACAUGCAAGUCGAGCGAGCGGCGGACGGGUGAGUAAUGUAUGGGGAUCUGCCCGAUAGAGGGGGAUAACUACUGGAAACGGUAGCUAAUACCGCAUACCAUCAGAUGUGCCAAGAUGGGAAUAGCUAGUAGGUGGGGUAAUGGCUAACCUAGGCGACGAUCCCUAGCUGGUCGGGGAGGAUGACCAGCCACACGGGAACUGUGACACGGUCCAGACUCCUACGGGAGGCAGCAGUGGGGAAGAUUGGACAAUGGGCGCAAGCCUGAUGCAGCCAUGCCGCGUGUGUGAAGAAGGCCGUCGGGUUGUAAAGCACUUUCAGCGAGGAGGCGUUACGCGCAGAAGAAGCACCGGCUAACUCCGUGCCAGCAGCCGCGGGAAUAC